rnacentral:rRNA from 1 species
GCCUACGGCCAUACCACCCUGAGAACGCCCGAUCUCGUCUGAUCUCGGAAGCUAAGCAGGGUCGGGCCCAGUUAGUACUUGGAUGGGAGACCGCC